GAUUAAUCGACAAGCAGUAAUCAAAACACUCGGCCAGUGAAGGUCCGGCGCAGAAGUGUUUCAGAAUACUGCGUCAUUGUCUCGAGUUAUCCCAGCCUGUCCUCCAUGUGCGGCGCAUAUCACGUCUGGCAGCGAGGGAGCGAGAGAGGGGGAGAGAGGUCCGGGUGUGUUUUAGUGUGUGAGAGGUCCCUGAGGGACGCCGAAGGAGAAAAGGGGAUCCUCGCGGCGCCAUCACUUGCCUGUUGGUCUGAUGAGAAGUCGAUAUUUGUACGGACGGUGCGGUGGUGCGCGGACUGAAGGGGCCUGAAGUUAUUGGCCACAGGAGCGUUUCUUCGGAAGUGUGAUGCCCCUUGCUUGAGUCUGCGUAAGCUGCGCAUCUGUGGAGAGCAAACGUGUCAUGCAAGUUGUGGGACUGUGACGGUACUGCCUGGUUCAUCCGCACGACUACGAGUGACGCAAAUCAUUUAAAGAGAGAGAGAGAGAGAUAGAGAGGGAGGAGUGAGAGGGACAAGUGGGGCUCACUUCGGCAGGAAAGGCGUAGUUGGCAAUGGUAUGUUCCGAGCCCUGCAGGUCCCGCUCGCCGAAGUGAAGACGCAGGUGGCUGACGGAGUAGGUGUAGGAGAGAGGUCCUCCUGACAGGUUGACCCGCGGCCCGGAUGACGGUUUGACUCUCCAUUCCAGACUGUGGCCUGUGUUGACGAGGCUGCCCUGGACCUGCCGGGCACGCAGAGGAAGCGGCGGAGCGAGAGACAGGCCGGCGUGAGGCAGCGAGAACCGGGCCUUCACAUCACGCCGAGCCCACGCCCUUACAGAUGGCGAGUAGCUCAGAGGAAAAAGACCAACUCUGCCAUGUCUUGCCACGCUGAUGACGCUCCUCCUCCAUUGGGCAAAGCAGCACCUGUUACAGGCUUCGUGAUCCCAAGCCUGUGUGUCACGUCGGCCUGCCGCAGAGUGGGACGUACUGGACGGCAGGUUGGAAAACUUAUUCGUGACGUGACUUGAUGAGACGAUAACGUGAUGCAAAGUGUGAAUGCAUGACAUGUUGACGGGACGGUGACGUGACGGUGUGAUGUGAAUCAGCACUUAAACGUUUCCACGUCUUAUCUCAACUACUUUAAACAGGCUGUGGAGGAAGUUGUCUUGAUUUUUAAGGAUGUUUUAAUGAUGUUAAUGAUGAUUCAACGAUAAUUUUGUGUCACCAAUGUGAGAGAGAGAGAGAGAGAGAGAGAGAGAGAGAGAGAGAGAGAGAGAGAAAAGCGCCCAUGAUAACACGAUUAAUUAUCUACUUAUGCGGCCUUUAAAGGGAGCUUUGAUGAGGGGACAGUGUGAUUGAGUAUAUAUGUGGUUAUGAAAUGUGAGUGAUGGUGUUGGCUGGUGGUUUAAGAUGCCGUAUAAUUGCUCCUACUCCGGGUACAUGGCACGAAGAUAUGGAGUUGGGAGAAAGGAAGCACGACAAAAGGGCAUUCAGACAGGUGAGAUAAGAUAUCUGAGAAAUGAAUAGGAUACCGGCAGAUUGGAUAGGACGUGCGCGUGCGUGCGUGCGUGUGUGUGUGUGUGUGUGUGUGUGUGUGUGUGUGUGUGUGUGUGUGUGUGUGUGUGUGUGUCAAGAAAGGUGAGGCAGAAAUGAGAGGAUUGCCUGACUGAGAGACCUGGUGAAGGAAGAGAAUAUGCAGAUUUUGUUUUAUUGUUGGCAGUUCUCGGAGAGACUAAGGUGUCAUAUCCCGAGAAAUGGAAAGGAAGAAGCGAAGGAAGGAAGGAAAUAAGUGGGAAUGGAACCGAAUAAGAAGGAAGAGUGAAAGUCAAGAAAAAAAAUGAAGAUAUGAAUAUGUGGUCCCGAGGUGUAGCGGCGCGUCCCUGCUACAUCGGGAGGAGAGGGGCUGUGUGGUCAGGAUUCAUGCCACUUGAGGGACCGGCUACUUUCCUGUCAAUACUGGGGCUGUGACGAAGGCUGUCCAAUGGAGAACAUGUAGAGAAGGCAGGACUUGGAAUCUUCUUACAGUUCGUGUAGCAUUGGCGCCUUCACCGUGAGAAAGUAUGGUGUGGAUUGCGUUGUGUAAGUCAUUAACAUGGGUUAAGUUCCGGGGGCGGAGAGACAGAUGGAGAAGCUUUUGCGUGCAGGUAUUGUUCAUCUAGAAAAUAUAAAAUAUUUUUCUGGAGUAUCGUUUUCAGCCGGGGUUGGUGGCGCAACCCUGUAAUCCGGCGACUCGGAGGCGUGGGCCAGCGGACGGCUUGAGGCGAGGGUGACUGCUGCGGGACUCCCCAUGUUGAGUGGGCGUCCGCACCAAGCUCAGCAUCAAUAUGGCCGCUCCUGGAGAGCCUAGGGCGUCCAGGUUGCCUAAGGAGGUGUGAACCAGGUCAGGGGGGAAACCCAGCAGCCGAAUGCACCCGUGUGGAGCAGCAGUGGGAUCACGCCCGUGAGUGGGCGGCCCGCGGCAGCCUUGCCGACACAGACGAACCUGGUUCUAUUUUUGUCAAGUUGCAUGGUCAUAAUUCAUUAUAUUCUACUUAUCAAUUUUCAUAGGCAAUCUGUGUGGACACACUUCAUUAGAAAAUACAACCAUGCUGAAGAUAUUCAUUAACAAAAAUUAAAAACAAGAAUUAAAGAUAUAGAUUUCUUAAUUGCAUCCCCAAACUAUAUGUUCAUACAUGAAACAUAUACGCAUUAAGUUAGGACACGUAAGGCCAAGGCUCGGUAAAAAUUCUGUAAACCACGAAACAUCACACAGAACGCUUGCUGAGGCGACAGUUUGAUCUUUUGCUGUCGAUAAUACUUUCAUGCCGUAAUUAUUGUUAACAUAAGCAUCCAUUAUAAGUGCACUGCCCAAGAUUUCUGUUGCACUCCUAUGAAAAAAAAAAAAAAAUCUUUAUAAAUAUCACCCGGCAGAAAAGCAAAAAGAACCAGGUUCGUCUGUGUCGGCAAGGCUGCCGCGGGCCGCCCACUCACGGGCGUGAUCCCACUGCUGCCCCACACGGGUGCUUUCGGCUGCUGGAUUUCCCCUGGCCUGGUUCACAUCUCCUUAGGCAACCUGGGCACCCUAGGCUCCCCAGGAGCGGCCAUAUUGAUGCUGAGCUUGGUGCGGACGCCCACUCAACAUGGGGAGUCCCGCAGCAGUCACCCUCGCCUCAAGCCGUCCGCUGGCCCACGCCUCCGAGUCGCCGGAUUACAGGGUUGCGCCACCAACCCCGGCUGGAAACUCUUGGCGCGGAGAUGAAUCCUAAGCUUCGGGCCAUUUUAGGAAUUUUGAUAGCUGCCUUUUAUUCCUUCUUCCACCAACUCUUUCCUUUCCUUACAUAAUCAUAGCAAUGCCCUUCACAUGUGUGCUUGUCCACACCACGUGAUGUUUCUUUAUUUAUAUUGUUUCUUAGUUGGGUUCCCUUAAUCUACCACGGCUAGGACGUCGGCUUUUAACGCAGGACAUUGGUUUUGACAUUAGAGAACUGUUACCGAAGUGGAUGAUCCUCUUAAUCUCGUACCGUGGUCAGGAAUCGAGUCCCCUAAGCCUGGUGUACAAAAAUAACUGCGAGAUCAUGAUUAUAUUAUUUACGAUCUAAGUGAUGAAAAGAAUGGAUUGGUUAAGAAAGUGACACAAUAUUCUUCCAUCAUUUACGAGUCUUUGUCAUACCAAGCCAUCUUCCUGUGUUCAUCAGUAAGCAAACGCAAGAAUA